CCUCUGAUGUUUCCGUUUGGGGAAUCAUGGGAAGUGUAGAUUUCGUGUUGAAUAGUUCUGUAGUUGAGGAUAUGGUGGGAUUACAUGGAGUUUUAAACAGUAUUUUAUUAUUAUUACUUCGACGACUUACAAUAAUAAUUAAACAAGGCCGAUUCAUUAUAUUGACGUGCGUACCCCCCCUAAGAGAAAUGCGACUGUGAUGUGACCAUUUUAAAUGCGUGCGAUACAUUGCGGUUCUUAAGAGUAGUUUCUUUAGAAUCUCAAAGUCAGCCUUCAGUCAGAUCUCGUACAUUUUGCACCGUUUUCAGUAGUUGUCUUUUUGCUUGGUCUUUUAUUUUUGAUCUCCGUGUUAAUACGAAGAAUAAUUUUAAUAGGAAGGUUUUUUUUUUUUGUUUGUUUGUUUUUCCCCCUAAUUAUUGCUUGUAUUUGUUAGACGGGGUGCCGGUGCCUUCCACACCACAUCUUUGCGCAUAAAUUAGAUCUCCAUGCGCUUCCAGACCGCUAGAGUUACUUCAAGAUGCCAGAAAUACAAGUUACACCUUUGGGGGCCGGGCAGGAUGUGGGCCGCAGCUGCAUCUUGGUUUCUAUUGGAGGAAAGAAUGUGAUGCUGGACUGUGGGAUGCACAUGGGAUAUAACGAUGAUAGACGUUUUCCAGAUUUCUCCUACAUUACACAGAAUAGCAGAUUAACAGAGUUCCUCGAUUGUGUCAUCAUUAGCCAUUUCCACUUGGACCACUGUGGAGCUCUGCCUUACAUGAGUGAGAUGGUGGGCUUUGAUGGACCCAUAUACAUGACGCAUCCCACAAAGGCCAUCUGCCCAAUCCUAUUGGAGGAUUACAGGAAAAUUACAGUGGACAAGAAAGGAGAAACCAACUUCUUUACAUCUCAGAUGAUCAAAGACUGCAUGAAGAAAGUGGUUGCUGUGAAUCUGCACCAGACAGUGCAGGUAGAUGAUGAGCUGGAGAUUAAGGCCUACUACGCAGGACAUGUUCUGGGUGCAGCCAUGUUCCAGAUCAGAGUGGGCUUGGAAUCUGUGGUGUACACUGGUGAUUAUAAUAUGACACCUGACAGACAUUUAGGGGCUGCAUGGAUUGACAAAUGCCGCCCCGAUGUCUUGAUCUCUGAAUCCACAUAUGCCACCACAAUCCGAGACUCGAAGCGCUGCCGAGAGCGAGACUUCCUGAAGAAGGUGCAUGAAACAGUGGAGCGGGGAGGAAAGGUCCUUAUCCCUGUCUUUGCACUGGGAAGAGCCCAGGAACUCUGUAUUUUGCUGGAAACAUUCUGGGAUAGAAUGAACCUGAAGGCACCAAUUUAUUUUUCCACUGGGCUAACGGAGAAAGCAAACCAUUAUUACAAACUGUUCAUCACGUGGACCAAUCAGAAGAUCCGGAAAACAUUUGUACAAAGAAAUAUGUUUGAAUUCAAGCACAUAAAGGCUUUUGACAGAUCAUAUGCAGAUAAUCCUGGACCCAUGGUUGUAUUUGCUACCCCAGGAAUGCUUCAUGCAGGACAAUCUCUUCACAUCUUUAAGAAGUGGGCCAGCAAUGAGAAGAACAUGGUCAUCAUGCCAGGGUACUGUGUGCAAGGCACUGUGGGACAUAAAAUAUUAAGCGGACAGAAAAAACUGGAGAUGGAGGGACGACAAACUUUGGAAGUGAAGAUGCAGGUGGAGUACAUGUCCUUCAGUGCGCACGCAGAUGCCAAGGGGAUAAUGCAGCUGAUUCGCAUGGCUGAGCCGCGCAGUGUCCUACUGGUGCACGGGGAGGCCAAGAAGAUGGAGUUCCUCAAGCAGAAAAUUGAGCAGGAGUUUAGUAUCAACUGCUUCAUGCCUGCAAAUGGAGAAACGGCUACCACUGUGACCAACCCCAGCGUUCCUGUGGACAUUGCACUGAGCUUGCUGAAGAGGGAGGCAGCGCUUGGUCCCUUACCAGAUCCAAAGAAACCAAGAACAAUGCACGGUACUCUUAUAGUGAAGGACAAUAGCCUUCGCCUGGUCGCUCCUGAGCAGGCAUUGAAAGAGCUGGGCCUCAGUGAACACCAGCUCCGCUUCACCUGUCGAGUUCAGAUACAGGAUCCCCAGUCUGAACAGGACACUCUCAACACAAUCUACAGCCAUCUGAAGAGUGUGCUGAAGGAGCACUCAAUCCAGCACCUUCCCGAUGGCACUGUGAUGGUGGAGUCCAUUCUCAUUAAAGUGUCUGCCGCUGCAGAGGAGCCCAGCACAAAAACCUUGCUGGUGUCAUGGAGUUACCAGGACGAGGAGCUUGGAGGCUACCUGUGUACUUUACUCAGAAAGGGAUUGCCUCAGAGUACUGGCUGAGUGGCUGGACCAAUCAAAUCAUCUGACGGGCUGAAGCUGACGUUCAUUUUGUAGGAGGAGUGAGCCGCGGACCGGUAAAACACAGAGCACAUCCCUGCACUGCACAGCACAGCACCACUCACGGCACCAUGCUUCUCAACACCAAGAGCACUGCGUGCACGGAGAACGUGGGGACAGACAAAGUCCCGUUUUUGUUUACUUUUUAUUUCAAUUAA